UUUUGGCAGGUACUGGAGGUCCGAACCCACUAAUUUGAAAAAUUAGGGGAUGAGCUGUGGAUAGGGGUGAAAGGCUAAACAAAUCCGGAAAUAGCUGGUUCUCCCCGAAAACUAUUUAGGUAGUGCGUCAUGUAUCACUUGCGGGGGUAAAGCACUGUUAUGGCUAGGGGGUUAUCGCGACUUACCAAACCAUGGCAAACUCUGAAUACCGCAAAGUGCGAGCAUGGCAGACAGACAGUGGGUGCUAACGUCCAUUGUCAAGAGGGAAACAACCCAGACCGCCAGCUAAGGUCCCCAAGACACAGUUAAGUGGGAAACGAAGUGGGAAGGCAUAGACAGCUAGGAGGUUGGCUUAGAAGCAGCCAUCCUUUAAAGAAAGCGUAAUAGCUCACUAGUCGAGUCGUCCUGCGCGGAAGAUGUAACGGGGCUCAAACUGUGCACCGAAGCUGCGGAUAUCGAAAGAUAUGGUAGGGGAGCGUUCUGUAGGUCUGUGAAGGUGUCUUGUAAAGGAUGUUGGAGAUAUCAGAAGUGCGAAUGCUGACAUGAGUAGCGAUAAAGGGCGUGAAAAGCGCCCUCGCCGAAAGCCCAAGGUUUCCUACGCAACGUUCAUCGGCGUAGGGUGAGUCGGCUCCUAAGGCGAGGCAGAAAUGCGUAGUCGAUGGGAAACAGGUCAAUAUUCCUGUACCGAUUCUAGAUGCGAUGUGGGGACGGAGAAGGUUAGGUCAGCCGGGUGUUGGACGUCCCGGUUUAAGCGUGUAGGCGUGCCCCUUAGGCAAAUCCGGGGGGCUGAGCUGAGGCGUGAUGACGAGGAACCACGGUUCCGAAGUGAUUGAUACCAAGCUUCCAGGAAAAGCCACUGAGCUUCAGUCUAGAGUUGACCGUACCGCAAACCGACACAGGUGGGCAGGAUGAAAAUUCUAAGGCGCUUGAGAGAACUCAGGAGAAGGAACUCGGCAAAUUAACACCGUAACUUCGGGAGAAGGUGUGCCCCGGUAGCGUGUAGAGACUUGCUCUCGAAGCGCGAUGGGGUUGCAGUGAAAUGGUGGCUGCGACUGUUUAAUAAAAACACAGCACUCUGCAAACACGAAAGUGGACGUAUAGGGUGUGACGCCUGCCCGGUGCCGGAAGGUUAAGUGAUGGGGUGCAAGCUCUUGAUCGAAGCCCCGGUAAACGGCGGCCGUAACGAUAACGGUCCUAAGGUAGCGAAAUUCCUUGUCGGGUAAGUUCCGACCUGCACGAAUGGCGUAACGAUGGCCACACUGUCUCCUCCUGGGACUCAGCGAAGUUGAAAUGUUUGUGAAGAUGCAAUCUACCCGCGGCUAGACGGAAAGACCCCAUGAACCUUUACUGUAGCUUUGCAUUGGACUUUGAACC
rnacentral:rRNA from 1 species